GAUGAACGCUGGCGGCGUGCCUAAUACAUGCAAGUCGAGCGAACAGACGAGAGUGCUUGCACUCUCUGACGUUAGCGGCGGACGGGUGAGUAACACGUGGGUAACCUACCUAUAAGACUGGGAUAACUUCGGGAAACCGGAGCUAAUACCGGAUAAUAUUUAGCUUCGCAUGAAGCAAUAGUGAAAGACGGUUCUGCUGUCACUUAUAGAUGGACCCGCGGUGUAUUAGCUAGUUGGUGAGGUAACGGCUCACCAAGGCAACGAUACAUAGCCGACCUGAGAGGGUGAUCGGCCACACUGGGACUGAGACACGGCCCAGACUCCUACGGGAGGCAGCAGUAGGGAAUCGUCCGCAAUGGACGAAAGUCUGACGGAGCAAUGCCGAGUGAGUGAAGAAGGUUUUCGGAUCGUAAAACUCUGUUGUAAGGGAAGAACAAGUACGUUAGUAACUGAACGUACCUUGACAGUACCUUACCAGAAAGCCACGGCUAACUACGUG
rnacentral:rRNA from 1 species